GUUCAUAACCGUUCAAGAUCAAUCACUUCGUCACUCCUCAUAUGGGGAAAGUAGGAAUGGCGAAACAGAAUGAAUAAAGGUGGAGUUUGCCACCGUCACUCCACCGUCUAAAGCUAUCGCAACCACCAGAACCUGCACUCGGUACGAUUAAGGCAAUAAGUGUUCGGUACGAACUGAUUUCAUUCACUUAUUCAUGACCCGUAAGUUGUUUGAUUUAGGGUUU
rnacentral:lncRNA from 1 species